UGGGAUAUGGUGUAAUGGCAGCACCAGGGAUUUUGGUUCCCUUAGUUCAGGUUCGAAUCCUGAUAUCCCAA
rnacentral:tRNA from 1 species